UACGUAGGGCGCAAGCGUUGUCCGGAAUUAUUGGGCGUAAAGAGCUCGUAGGCGGCCUGUUACGUCUGCUGUGAAAUCCCGGGGCUUAACCCCGGGCGUGCAGUGGAUACGGGCAGGCUGGAGGCAGGCAGGGGAGAACGGAAUUCCCGGUUUAGCGGUGAAAUGCGCAGAUAUCGGGAGGAACACCGGUGGCGAAGGCGGUUCUCUGGGCCUGUACUGACGCUGAGGAGCGAAAGCGUGGGGAGCGAACAGG
rnacentral:rRNA from 1 species